GGGGGUUGAGCAACCUGGUGGUUGAAUGAAAAUUGAUUGCGUUUGGAGAAGAGGAAGAAGGAUUGUGUUUGGGGACAUAGGGACUUCUAAUUCGUUGACCAUGAAAUAUUUUAAUGCAGAGUUCAAAAUUUAAGAGAAAAUAAAAAGCCAUGUUUAAAUUGUUAUUUAAAAAAAACCACGCAGACUAAAUAUAAACGGUGAAACCGGAAUCAAAUUGCAUAAUUCCUGUAUUUAAUAGGUAAAAUGUUAUUUUUAGGGACAAUUGNCUGUAUUGACGACGACAUCCCAAAGUUUUAAUAUAAACAAAAAUACAUUGUCUUCGGAACUGCUUUGAUGAUAUAUAUUUUGGGAUCAAAUUCCGCACCAGCAACAGACUAACCCCACCAUAAAAAUUGUCUGCGUUUAAGGUACGCCCUACGAUUUCCUCAAAAACCCUAUACGACAAAAAAAAAAUCAAAGGACUUACCGAUGACUAUGACAUCAGUUAGGUGUUAGACAAGAAAAGGGGAAGAAGAUGAAAGUCGCCAUCGAUUGGGGGUUGAGCAACCUGGUGGUUGAAUGAAAAUUGAUUGCGUUUGGAGAAGAGGAAGAAGGAUUGUGUUUGGGGACAUAGGGACUUCUAAUUCGUUGACCAUGAAAUAUUUUAAUGCAGAGUUCAAAAUUUAAGAGAAAAUAAAAAGCCAUGUUUAAAUUGUUAUUUAAAAAAAACCACGCAGACUAAAUAUAAACGGUGAAACCGGAAUCAAAUUGCAUAAUUCCUGUAUUUAAUAGGUAAAAUGUUAUUUUUAGGGACAAUUGUGCAAGAAAAUUACUUUAGUGACUAAAUCGAACAAUUGACGAAACGUUAAUGUGCUACAAUGAUAUUUUUCCUAUAAAAUUAAUGGUUAUUCUUUAAUAAAUAUUAUUUCCAAAUUUUAAAAAUUCAUGCAAAAUUUUUGGACAUUACAAACUCACACCCCCUUAAACACGUUCAUUUUUUUUAAUACAUAUAACUCCAAUUUAAUAAUAAGUACCCAUGUACUAGUUGCACAUAAAUCAUGUAUUAUCGAAUGCGAUAACAAAAUUUUGAAAUUUAAAGGCCUCAUGUUUUGUAUUUGUCCCUAGCCUCAAAUUGGCUUGGACCGUCUGUACACUUCCGACAAACCCCAUACCCUACAAGUGCCAUCACCGAGCCUUCGCCUUAGUGCGAUAUCGGUAGAACUUUUGUUUUUGAUAACAAAUUAAUAAUGGAUCUCAUCGAGCAAAAAAUAUGGCUACCGGCGCAAUCAGAACAUAUAUUUUACGAUGAAUAGACGGGUUG
rnacentral:lncRNA from 1 species